rnacentral:rRNA from 1 species
GAGUUUUGAUCCUGGCUCAGGAUGAACGCUAGCUACAGGCUUACACAUGCAAGUCGAGGGCAGCAUGGUCUUAGCUUGCUAAGGCCGAUGGCGACCGGUCGCACGGGUGAGUAACACGUAUCCAACCUGCCGUCUACUCUUGGACAGCCUUCUGAAAGGAAGAUUAAUACAAGAUGGCAAUCAUGAGUCCACAUGUUCACAUGAUUAAAGGUAUUCCGGUAGACGAUGGGGAUGCGUUCCAUUAGAUAGUAGGCGGGGUAACGGCCCACCUAGUCUUCGAUGGAUAGGGGUUCUGAGAGGAAGGUCCCCCACAUUGGAACUGAGACACGGUCCAAACUCCUACGGGCGGCAGCA